GUGAACGCUGGCGGUAGGCCUAACACAUGCAAGUCGAACGGCAGCACAGUAAGAGCUUGCUCUUACGGGUGGCGAGUGGCGGACGGGUGAGGAAUACAUCGGAAUCUACUUUUUCGUGGGGGAUAACGUAGGGAAACUUACGCUAAUACCGCAUACGACCUACGGGUGAAAGCAGGGGAUCUUCGGACCUUGCGCGAUUGAAUGAGCCGAUGUCGGAUUAGCUAGUUGGCGGGGUAAAGGCCCACCAAGGCGACGAUCCGUAGCUGGUCUGAGAGGAUGAUCAGCCACACUGGAACUGAGACACGGUCCAGACUCCUACGGGAGGCAGCAGUGGGGAAUAUUGGACAAUGGGCGCAAGCCUGAUCCAGCCAUACCGCGUGGGUGAAGAAGGCCUUCGGGUUGUAAAGCCCUUUUGUUGGGAAAGAAAAGCAGCAGGUUAAUACCCCGCUGUUCUGACGGUACCCAAAGAAUAAGCACCGGCUAACUUCGU
rnacentral:rRNA from 1 species